UAGAGAAAAAUAUUUUUCUUCUUCAUCUUGACCGUGAGUGGGCUGUUGGGAAGGGGUGGAGUUUGGCUUCAUUAUCAUCACUCUAAAUCAUUGAAGGGAUGACUAAGACAUGAGGGAACAAUCACCAAUGGAGAAGAAGCAAAACAUUUUCACAUAGAGGAGGAGAAUGGAACCACUACUUGGACUGUUGAGUAUAAGGGGUAGUACCGUUGAAGUAAAUUAGGAAGAAGACUACAAGAAGCUCUACCUACAAAUUAGAUUUUGCUCAAGAGUGGAGAAUUCAUGGCUGCAUACUUUUCAAACCUAACAAGGUUGUGACUUGUGAGAGAUCGUGACUCGGUGGACACGAGAAUUAGUGGAGGACACUACUUCCCAGGUACAGGAGCUGAUGGUACUGAGGCAUCGCGUGGCAAGAGGCCAGAUGAGAGAUACUACUUGACAUGAUUGUCAGGGUCUUACGGAUAUUUAGAUUUGUACCUGACAUACUUUAUUUUGGGUUGUAUGUGCCAUGUAUUUUUUUUUUUUGAGAGCAUAGAAGAUGUCUAUGCCAUGUCGAUAGUCUGUAUAUGUUGUUA